GACGUAGGGCGCGAGCGUUGUCCGGAUUUAUUGGGCGUAAAGAGCUCGUAGGCGGCUUGUCGCGUCGUCCGUGAAAACCUGCAGCUCAACUGCAGGCUUGCGGUCGAUACGGGCAGGCUAGAGUUCGGUAGGGGAGACUGGAAUUCCUGGUGUAGCGGUGAAAUGCGCAGAUAUCAGGAGGAACACCGGUGGCGAAGGCGGGUCUCUGGACCGAGACUGACGCUGAGGCGCGAAAGCGUGGGGAGCAAACAGG
rnacentral:rRNA from 1 species